GGAGAAAUCUAAACGGCCGCGGAAUUUUAACCGUGCUAAGGUAGCAUAAUCAUUUGUUCUUUAAUUAAGGACUUGUAUGAAUGGUUAAACGAAAUAAAGCUAUCUAUAAAGUAUUAAAUWAAAAUUAUUUUUAAAGUGAAAAAUCUUUAAUACAGUAAAAAGACAAAAAGACCCUAUAGAGUUUUAUUCAUCACUAUAAAUAAAUAUAAAUGAAUUUAGUUGGGGCAACUAAUGAAAAAAGAAAUUUCUUUUUAUUAGCUAAAAAUAU
rnacentral:rRNA from 1 species